UGCUCUUAAAGGAAUAUCACACAAAACUUCUACUCUCAACUCACCGGCCAAGACCUCGUCACAUGUCUACAUCCAGCUGGAAGGUACCUUUACUGUUGAAGAGCUCCUGCUGCCUGUGGCUGCAUCACAGGAUGCACAGGAGAAGGCUCAGGGGAGGAGGAGUUUCUUCUAGACCAGACACAGUGGUCACCCAGGCCAAUGGCCUCAUAAUAACCCUGUCCAGCUUCAAGCAGAACCUCCUCUCCUGGCAUGAGUUUCUUCAAUAAGUUCUCCUCCCUUUGCCACAUUGACUGUCUGCUUCAAACAUACACUGGCCUGAAGAAGAAAUCUUCACACCAAAGUCCAUGCUUAAGACCUUGGCUCAUGAGGAAGAUUAAAAAAACAAGCUGCCCUACUUGCAAAAAUGUCAUGCUGUCUCUUUGUUUACCUUCUGCAUGGAAAUAACAGAGAGAGCCU
rnacentral:lncRNA from 1 species